CCGUUAAUAUUACAAGGCUUUUUUAAGGCACCCCAACUUAUUUUUCAAGGCAUUGAUCUUAAAAGAACAAAGACCCAGCACACAGAUGGCUAAAUCCAGAAAAUGGCCUAAACUGGCUUGCUCGCUAGGCGAGCAGUUCCUUCGCCUAGCGAACCCUUCGCUACGCCACUCGCCUAGCGAAGCUUGCGAAUACCAGAAAAUUCUGGGCUUCAUUCUGAGCCCAUUAGGUCACAAAAAGAGCAUUAUAAAUACCACAACUUCAGACCACUCGCCUAGCGAAGCUUGCGAAUACCAGAAAAUUCUGGGCUUCAUUCUGAGCCCAUUAGGUCACAAAAAGAGCAUUAUAAAUACCACAACUUCAGUCAGAAAAAAAAAACGAAAAGAGGAGAUAAAAAGAAGGCACAACAAACCCUA
rnacentral:lncRNA from 1 species